rnacentral:tRNA from 1 species
GUCCCCGUAGCUCAGUCGGAUAGAGCAAGUGCCUCCUAAGCGCUAGGUCGGAGGUUCAAUUCCUCUCGGGGACG